CAAUAGCGUAUAUUUAAGUUGCUGCAGUUAAAAAGCUCGUAGUUGGAUUUCGGGUGGGAAUGGCCGGUCCGCCGUUUCGGUGUGCACUUGCUACGCCCACCUUGCUGCCGGGGACCAGCUCCUGGGCUUCACUGUCCGGGACUGGGAGCCGACGAAGUUACUUUGAGUAAAUUAGAGUGUUCAAAGCAAGCCUACGCUCUGAAUAUAUUAGCAUGGAAUAACACGAUAGGACUCUGGCUUAUCUUGUUGGUCUGUGAGACCAGAGUAAUGAUUAAGAGGGACAGUCGGGGACAUUCGUAUUUCAUUGUCAGAGGUGAAAUUCUUGGAUUUAUGAAAGACGAACUUCUGCGAAAGCAUUUGUCAAGGAUGUUUUCAUUAA
rnacentral:rRNA from 1 species